rnacentral:rRNA from 1 species
UUUAAGGUCUAACCUGCCCAAUGAGGAUUUAAAUGGCCGCAGUAUUUUGACUGUGCAAAGGUAGCAUAAUUAUUAGUUUUUUAAUUGAAAGCUUGUAUGAAGGGUUGGACGAGAUAAAGACUGUCUUUAUUUAAAUUAAAGUAGAAUUNAACUUUUAAGUCAAAAGGCUUAAAUUUUUAUAAAAGACGAGAAGACCCUAUAGAUCUUUAUUUAAUUAAUAUUUUAAUAAUUUAGGAUUAAUUUAAUUUAAAGUUUUAAUUAAAUUUUAUUGGGGUAAUAUAAAGAUUAAAUAAAUUCUUUUUAUUUAUUACAUUAAUUUAUGAAUAAAUGAUCCAAUAUUAUUGAUUAUAAGAUUAAGUUACCUUAGGGAUAACAGCGUAAUUUUUUUGGAGAGCUCAUAUCGAUAAAAAAGUUUGCGACCUCGAUGUUGGAUUAAAAGUUAUCUUGGGUGCAGAAGCUCAAGAUUUUGGUCUGUUCGACCAUUAAACUUUUACAUGAUCUGAGUUCAGACCGGCGUGAGCCAGGUCGGUUUCUAUCUUUAUUUAAUUAUAAUAUUUUAGUACGAAAGGACCAGAUAUUUAAUAUAGUUAUAUUUAUUUUUUGAAUAAUAUU